UACGUAGGGACCGAGCGUUGUCCGGAUUCAUUGGGCGUAAAGAGCUCGUAGGCGGCUAUUCAAGUCGAACGUGAAAUCUCGGAGCUCAACUCCGAAACUGCGUUCGAUACUGGGUAGCUAGAGUCUGGUAGGGGGAUCUGGAAUUCCUGGUGUAGCGGUGGAAUGCGCAGAUAUCAGGAGGAACACCGGUGGCGAAGGCGGGAUCCUGGGCCAGUACUGACGCUGAGGAGCGAAAGCGUGGGGAGCAAACAGA
rnacentral:rRNA from 1 species